UUCUGUUAUAAUUUUCCCAACCACAGAAGUUCUUGGAAGACAUAUUAAAGUGAAAAGGAUCAGAUGAGCAGCCUCCUUUUGUCUAGGAGAAAAGAAGAAAAAGUGAAAAUUGCACUGUGAUCUGUGGAAUGGAAGUUUGAUGGGAAAGUACAAGAGAGUUUAAAAGCAAGAAGGAAAAGUGAAUUUAUGAAACAGCUGGGAAUGGUAGCAAAGAGAGUGAAGGGUUAAGUGGAAUUUCUAGAGUUGUGAUUUAACCAACAGUAAAUGGCUAAUAUGAUGAAAUUAGGAAUGUUUUCUACUCAUAAUGAGUUGCCUCUUAAACCUGCUUGUUAUGAAAGUUUAUUUCUGUAUGCACUGACUCUUGUUUCUAAAUGAUUUUAUUUAAAUAAUCUACAUCACAAAACCUUUGGCAAUUUAUUUCUUCUGUCUAUACAUUUAGUAAAUUCAUAAUUGAUAUGCCAGCAUUGGGCUUUUUCAAUGCACUGCCAUGGACAUAUUCGGUUAAUGUGUGAUGCCAGAAGUGAGAUAACAAUAUUUGUUCGCCCCUGUCUUUUUUAAAUCUCUG
rnacentral:lncRNA from 10 species